ensembl:lncRNA
CAUAUUUACAAAGUAUUGAAAAUGUUAAAAAAGUAUUGAAUAAUGAUAGUUUUAAUACAAAUAUUUAUUUUCGUAUUAUUAAUGCUGAUGAUAACAAAUAUAAUAAUGAUAAGGAAACAGAAAAUAGUUACGAUAAAAACGUAAAUGAUAGAGAGGAAAAACCCAUAGAUAGUGGUAAAGGAACAAAUGAGGAUAGUGAGGAGCAAGAAAAUUGUACAUAUCCAUACUACACUGAAAAUCAUAGUCUGAUUAAUAUAAAUUCGAUUGAUAUAUAUAAUAGCGAUUGUGACGAAGAUAUAUUUUUUAAUGAAAAUAAUUUGUAUGCUAAUUAUUAUAUGACUGUACCACCAUCACAACAUAAAAAUAGGGGUUAUGGGUUAUUAAAUGAGUUAGAAAAAAAAAUAAAAUAUAUAAAAAAUGAAACAUAUAAAGGAGGAAAAGAUGGCGAAGUAAAUGAACGAAAAAAAACAGAUGAAAAAAAUAAAACAAAUAAAAACGAAACAGAUAAACAUAAAGUGUAUGAAGAAAAUAAAGAAGCAGAAGAAGAUGAAGAAUUGUUAAAAAAUGGUUAUUACAUAAACGAAAAUGGUAUAGAAAUAAACAUUGAUAUUUUAAAAAAAAAAAUAAAUACCGAACCAGUAAAUUGUAUUGAAUAUAUUGGAUCGUUUUUAAACAUUGAUUCGCCUAUUAUGCUAAUGAAAAUCAGUAAUAAUGAAAAAGUUUUAUCUUUAUUAACAUAUACUUGUAGUAUAUAUAAUUAUGAUAUAAGUGAACGAUCUUUAAAUGAAUUAAAAAAAAAAAGAAUAAAAAAAAUAGACAUUUUUAAUAAUAUAGAAAAAUAUUCUCCUGAACAUGAAAUAAAUAAAUUAACACAUAAUGAUCUUUUAGAUGAUACUGAUAUGGUAGAAGAAGCGACUAUAUCUCCAAUGUCUACAACUAUUUCCUAUUUUACAAAUUCAGUUACAUGUUUUGAUUUUUUACCAGAUAAUAGAACGUUAGUAUGUGUUGGUUAUAAUAUGGAUUACGUCCUUACCUUUGUUGAUAGCUAUACUGGGAAAAGUGUCAUUUGUAAUAAAAAAAUAACUACUGAAAUGGGAAGUGGUGUUAGUAUGGGACUGGAAAGUGGUGCGAGUAAUAAAAUGGGGAGUACCAUAAAUCAUGAUAAGGAUAAUAUCACAAGUGGCGAUAAGGAUAAUGUCAUAAGUGGCGAUAAGGAUAAUGUCNNNNNNNNNNCAAGUGGCGAUAAGGAUAAUGUCAUAAGUGGCGAUAAGGAUAAUGUCCCAAGUGGCGAUAAGGAUAAUGUCCCAAGUAGUGACUUGCACAACGUACAAAUCGAGGGAACGGAACAAAAACAACAUUUAAUUUAUAACUUCAGUUAUAUUCAUGUUGAUAAAGAAAAACGAAUUUAUAAUGGAGAACUUGGUAAUUUUAUUUAUUUAGGAUCCGUAAGUGGAUAUAUAGUAUUUAUUUUUAUGAGUGAUAAAUUUAUACAAUUUGUUAAUAAGUUAUUAACGAACAAUAAAAUAAAAAAUGGUUCGUUAUUUCGUUAUAAACAUAGUAGUAAUUAUGAUACACUGGAAGAUAUAUUAGCAGAUGUUCUAGGAAAUGUAUAUGAUGUUUAUAAAGUAAAUAAUGAAGAGUUAUGUAAAUUAAUUAACGAAUAUGAUAGUAAUAAUAAAAACAGGCCACUAUUAAAUAUAAAUAUAAAAGAAAACAUAUUUAAAACUGGUGAAGAUAUGAAACACAUUGAAUAUACCUUAUUUUCUUAUGUAUUUUGCAUUGCGAAAAAUAUUCAAAUUAAUUCGAUAAUAAAUAUAAACACAAAUAAAAAUAGAAAUAUUCAUUUAUUAGUAGGGUUAAAUGAUGGGAGAGUGUUUAAUUUAUGCUUCACCAUACGUCCGUUUUGUUCACAUGUGUUAACGGAAACUAGUGCUGGUACUGUUAGUGG